AACGAACGCUGGCGGCGUGCCUAACACAUGCAAGUCGAGCGGGAAAGUUCCCUUCGGGGAGCGAGUACAGCGGCGCACGGGUGAGUAACACGUAGGUAACCUACCCUGGAGACCGGGAUAACCUGCCGAAAGGCGGGCUAAUACCGGAUGAGACCACGAGGGCUGCGGCCCUUGAGGAAAAAGAUGGCCUCUACUUGUAAGCUAUCACUCCGGGAUGGGCCUGCGCGCCAUUAGCUAGUUGGNGAGGU
rnacentral:rRNA from 1 species